UACGAAGGGGGCUAGCGUUGCUCGGAAUCACUGGGCGUAAAGAGUGCGUAGGCGGGUCUUUUAAGUCAGGGGUGAAAUCCUGGAGCUCAACUCCAGAACUGCCUUUGAUACUGAGGAUCUUGAGUUCGAGAGAGGUGAGUGGAACUGCGAGUGUAGAGGUGAAAUUCGUAGAUAUUCGCAAGAACACCAGUGGCGAAGGCGGCUCACUGGCUCGAUACUGACGCUGAGGUGCGAAAGCGUGGGGAGCAAACAGG
rnacentral:rRNA from 1 species